CUUCAGUGUCGGCGCGAAUUUCAAAUUGUGAAGUGCGUAAAAGUGUUGAUCUUGUGAUAGUGUUUUUAAAAGCUUACGGAAGUAUUACACAAAUUUUGAGUCAUUAAAGAUAUAUUUUUAUCUGAAGCAGAUAGCAUAUUUUAAAGACAAGGACGAGAAGUCGUUAACAAUGUCACGCAAUUUAUGAAAAAGGAAGCAAAGGAAGGUAUAACUAUUCCACUCACGGGUUCAUAAAACUAUACCGCUACAACAAAUUUUUGUCAUAGAGAUUCUAGACUAUGUAGAAAAUGGAGGGAGCAAGCACUUCUUUUUGCACGUUCAGGGAAAAGAGGCCAAGGAUUUCAAGGAAAUUGGGACAUAUCACUCUAGGACAAAUGAAAUCCUUAAGCAAAUUCGUUUACGAUUUUUAUAUUAUCGACAAGAGACGACCUAUUUGAAAACGUA